AUCCGACUGACGAGUCCCAAAUAGGACAAGACACACAUCCUGGAU
rnacentral:hammerhead_ribozyme from 1 species